ensembl:lncRNA
GUAUGGCUCAAAUGGAAUGAAAUCCUUUAUGCGUGCACCUAAAUUUGCAAUAGAGCAAAUCUAUCCAACUGUCUGAGGUAGCUAAUCAGUUUAAUAAUCUAAUAAUUAGCACUCCCAAAUGGUAUAGCAAAAAAAAAAAAACAACACCAUUUGGCUUAUUGCAUAUGUGUGAGAUCGAAUAUUUUAAUUAUUGGGAUUCUGUGGGCUCCUGCUCUCUGUUUGGGAAGGAUGGUGGUAUUCUCUUUCCUGUUGAUUAGACAAACAGUCAUCAAAUGAAGGCAUCUCUGAGGUCAUGCAUAUUGAAGAAGGCAUUUAGCAUGUUCCUCAAAAUGUGUGUUCAGUUGCUCUGUGAAAAGAUAGAGACUUGGCCUCACCCAUCUCAACUGGUAGCUGUUGUGUGAUAAGUGAUAAGUAGUUAGUGUGUGAGAAUUGGCAAUGACCAAAUGGGAGAAAAUGGGAUAUGAUAAUCCAUCCAUCAUGGGGAGCCUGGAGCUUAUCCCAGGGAACUCAGGGCACAAGGCAGGGGACACCCUGGUCUGGGUGCCAACCCAUCUUAGGGCACAAUUGCAUACACAUUAACACUCUAUGGACAAUUUGGAAUUUGCCAAUAAGCCUAUAACACAUCUUUGGACUGAGAAAGGAAACCAAAGUACCCAGAGGAAACCACCAAAGCAUGGGAAGAACUUGCAAACUCCACGCACACAGGGCAGAGGCAGGAUGCAAACCCCCAACCCCGGAGGUGCGAGGCAAACGUGCUAACCACUAAGUCACCAUGCUCCUGAGAAGAAGAAGAAGAAGGAGAAGAAGGAGAAGAAGAAGAAGAAGAAGGAGAAGAAGGAGAAGAAGAAGAAGACGACGACAAGACAUGUAAACCUCUGAAUCUGGGUAAUCCAACAGUUGGUAUAUUUGCAUAAGUUCUGAGCAUCAAAAUGCACACCAACAUGGCUAGGAAUGGGGGAGAUUUAGCACACAUUUCACAUACGACUGGUACUUGAACUCAAUUUUAAAGUAAAUUUAUGCGUAUCUGAGGUCACAGUAUUGGGACACAUAUUGUACUCACUGUAUACGCGUAUAUAAUCUUUGCAAUUCAAAUUGAUUGAUUAAAAUUAGGGCAAGAGGCCACAAAGUGCACCAGUCAUAGACUUUCUUAGUUCGUUGGUAUUUUGGGAUAUGCCACAAUUUUCACACUAGCUUUCCACCUGAAUCAGAUUACCAUUAUAUCUUUCUUAAGGAAUUCACUAAUGCUUGGUUCUCUGGCUAAUCAGUAUUUCUGAAACUUGUCAAGUGCUAUUUAAUGCUGCAUAUGACACAACUUUCAUCUCUCUUUAAUUAGAAUCCCUGCCUGUUUCAUCUUUUUUUUUGUUUCUUCCCUUAAAUGAAAAAUCAGCUCCACAGGAACCUUCUAGAAGAUUCACAGGGAACAGUAUAGUGUGUUAGCUGCUGAUAUCCAUAGAUGUACAGUAGGUAACUGGCUUUAUCACUGAUGCUGUCUGCACACACUGCUGUGCCUUUAUGAUAAAUAAUGUCUGUGACUUUGUAUGUAUGUUUGUGUCAUGGGGUUUAGAGUGUCCUUACAACACACCGUUGACAUAACAUGUGGCAUGCCAGCGGCAUACUGACGGUAUGACCAGCGCCUUGCUUGUUAGAAGUCCAGCCAAACCCCUGAGGAGGCCGAACGCCAGGAAAUAAGAGACACAAGCUGUUGCAUCAGAGAAUGGAAGAUGCCAGAAAGCCAGCAUACACUGCUGUAUGAGGUGUCUUGUCUGGUCUGAAAGACUCCUUCUCUCCCAUAAACAUAAUUUACAUACCAUUAGUGAUCCCACAGAAUAUACUGAUGCAGGUUCAUUAUGCUCAAACCUGGAAAGACUCAAGCCUUGGUUCAUAUUUCAUUUACUGGUGUUGGUUUUACUAGUUGUGGACUGUCAGAAUUUAUUUAUUUAAAGCUGAAAUUUAAUGAGAAUCAUUCUUUGAAAUGAUGAACAAACCUGAUCACAUUAAGAAUUUGUAGGAAUCAACAUGAGGUGAUAACUUCCACAAAAUGCAUAUGCUAAGCAUGAUAAACUCUAAUCUUAAUCAUUCAAGUUGGGUGGGGAAAUUUCAUAUGAAUUGGCAACCAUAAAUAGGGGGUGGAAGCCUGCAUUUUUCUUUUAUAACACAACACCACAAAUACUACAUAUAUCAACUUAUUUGGUUUGGAAAACUAACAUUUUUUAACAUACUAGGAAUAUAUCUUUAGGACCAGUCAGAGUAAAUGAAAAUAAGAAUUACCUGUUGAAAAAAAAAUACUGGAAAAGAACAUAAAAAUGCUUCUGGAAAAAGUUUCAUUUGUGAGUUCAUUCAGGUGAACGUUAAUCCCAGGAAAAAUGAAAUGAGACAGUACAGAUGGAAAUGGAAUAAUGAGACAGUACAAAACAAGAGGUUGGUCAGCAAAAUGGUGGAUCCAUAGACAAUCCUGGGAACACUGUGCACAAGGUGGGAACACAUCCUGCAUGCCAGAUCAUUGGAGGACACCAUGCAUGCACAAGCACACUGACACACUCAAGUUCAUAUCUAGGGGCAAUUUAUCAUGGCAAUCCACCUACUGACAUGUUUUUGCUAGGAGAGUGAAAACUAGAGAAUGUGGAGGAAACCCACAUGGACACAAGGAGAACAUACAAAACUCCAUCACAACUGCAAGAGUCUAAUUAACAUUCUAGCCAAUGCAAGCUGUUCAGUGAGCCACAUCAAAUCACACCAAGACUGUCCAAAAUCCGAUUUUUGCUCCGUUCGCCAAAGACGAAAGUAGCAAGUCUUAUUGUGACCACCUGCAUAGGCCUCACUUUAACCAUUCAUAAGGUUUAUGUAUGAGCGUAUUUGGCUAACAUAUUUGCUUUAUAGGAUAGCUCAUUCCAUGGCCUGAUUGUGCAAGGAUCUGGUGAAUAUCACUUGUUGUUCUGUUACAGGCUGAGGAUAGACUGAUGUAACCAGUGCACCAAAGUAACAGUGUUGGAAAGAUGCCACUCAGAAACAUGGCAGAGCCAAGGUCAGAUCACAUGUUAGCUUCAUUUUGUUGUUGUUGUUGCUUAUGCUCAGUGGCACAGUACACAGACAGUAAAGUGAAAGGAAAGCAAAUAAAACCUGCCACUUCUUUUGCCCAGCUCUCGGCCACAUCCACACAAAAAGAUCACUGCUUAGAGAGAGAAACAGAGAAAGAAAAUGAGAGCUCACAUGAAUAUUUGUGGGAAGAUAGGGCUCAUUUUUACCAUGUUAGUAAUUCCCAUCUAGCUUGUGCCCCAAACUCCAUCCUUCCACUGCAGACUCCCACUACUAACUACACCCCUACCUGCUACAAAGAAAUGUAUAGAAAUUUAAGCAGCUUUCCAAAAAAUAUUUUCAAGCCAGCAUGAACUUUUUUUUUUUUUUUUUUUUAGCUUUUUGCUCAAAAA